rnacentral:rRNA from 1 species
AAUUAAACAUUUUGGUUUAUUUUGUAAAAUAAUUUCUUUUAAUAAAACAUUUUUAAAUUUAGUAAAGGUGAUAGAAAUUUAUUAAUUAAAUCCAAGAAAAGUACUGUGAAGGAAUUUUAUUGAAUAAAAUAAAAAAAAGAGUCAAUUUCUGUACCUUUUGCAUCAUGGUUUAGCUAGAUAUUUAUUUACUAUUAAAUUUCUCGAAAUCUAAUGAGUUAUUUCUAUUCAAUAUAUUAGUAUAAAAGAGUAGUUGUAGCAAAAACUUUCUUAGAAAUAGAAAUGGAAAUGAAAUUUUAUUCGUAUUAGAUGAUAGCUAGUUCUUCUUAAAGGCAUAUAAGUGCUUAAAACUAACUUUAUUUUUAUAAUAUUAAAUAUAAAGAAUAUUUAGUUUGGUUAAAUUUUUGAGGAUAAGCUCGAAAAUUUUUUAUUAUAUUUGCAUUUUAUUUUUAUUAGAAUUUAGGCUUGAAAAUAGCCAUAAUUAUGAAUUUGUUAUAAUUUCAUUAAUUACUUAAGAAAAUAAUAAAUUUGCUUUUUAUAAGUGAAGAAAACUUAAUAACCUAAUUAAGUUGAAUUAAUGCUAAAAUGAGUAUUAUACUAACAUAUUUAAGGUUAACAAUAAAUAAAUGUUUUCAUUAAAAUAUCUAUAUAAAAAAUAAAUCAUAAAAAGGAACUCGGCAAAUUGACAUUCUGCCUGUUUAGCAAAAACAUGGCUCCUUGAUUUUUAAUAAUAAGGAGUCGGACCUGCCCAGUGAAUUUUUUUAACGGCCGCGGUACUCUGACCGUGCAAAGGUAGCAUAAUCAUUUGCCUUAUAAUUGAAGGCUAGUAUGAAUGGUUUGACAAGAAUGUAGCUGUCUCUUUAUGAUUAAAUAGAAUUUUAUUUUUAGGUGAAGAAGCCUAAAUUUUAUUAAAAGACAAGAAGACCCUAUCGAGCUUAAAAAGAAUUAAUAGAAUUAAAAUUUAUAUAACUAAAAAAUUAUCUAUUACAAAUUUUAGUUGGGGCGACUGAGGAACAAAAAAAGCUUCCUUUAUCUAAUUUUAAUGUCAUACUAGAGAUGAUCCAAAUUUUUUUGAUUAAAGGAAUUAGUUACCGUAGGGAUAACAGCAUUAUCUUUUUUAAGAGCUCAUAUCGAAAAAAAGGUUUGUGACCUCGAUGUUGGACCAGAAUAUCCUAAAGGUGCAGCAGCCUUUAAGGGUUGGUCUGUUCGACCAUUAAAAUUCUACGUGAUCUGAGUUCAGACCGGCGUGAGCCAGGUCAGUUUCUAUCUUUAAUUAAAUAAAUAAAUUUAGUACGAAAGGACCAAUUUAUUAUAAUAUUAUAUUUAUUAUUGAUUAAAUAUAAUUGUUAAUUAAAUGAUCAAAUUAGCAAAAAUUAAUGCAAUUGACUUAGGAUCAAUAGAUAUAGGUGAAAUCCCUUUAUUUGAUAGUAUAAAGGUGGCAGAUGAA